rnacentral:rRNA from 1 species
GAUGAACGCUGGCGGCGUGCCUAAUACAUGCAAGUCGAGCGAACAGACGAGGAGCUUGCUCCUCUGACGUUAGCGGCGGACGGGUGAGUAACACGUGGAUAACCUACCUAUAAGACUGGUAUAACUUCGGGAAACCGGAGCUAAUACCGGAUAAUAUAUUGAACCGCAUGGUUCAAUAGUGAAAGACGGUUUUGCUGUCUCUUAUAGAUGGAUCCGCGCCGCAUUAGCUAGUUGGUAAGGUAACGGCUUACCAAGGCAACGAUGCGUAUCCGACAUGAGAGGGGGAUCGGCCACACUGGAACUGAGACACGGUCCAGACACCUACGGGAGGCAGCAGUAGGGAAUAUUCCGCAAUGGGCGAAAGCCUGACGGAGCAACGCCGCGUGAGUGAUGAAGGUCUUCGGAUCGUAAAACUCUGUUAUUAGGGAAGAACAAAUGUGUAAGUAACUAUGCACGUCUUGACGGUACCUAAUCAGAAAGCCACGGCUAACUACGUG